rnacentral:misc_RNA from 1 species
UCCGGCUUGUCGCCGGCGGUCCCUUUAGAGUGCCCAACUUAAUGAUGGCAACUAAUGAUAAGGGUUGCGCUCGUUGCGGGACUUAACCCAACAUCUCACGACACGAGCUGACGACAGCCAUGCAGCACCUGUCACCGGUCCAGCCGAACUGAAGGAAUCCAUCUCUGGAAACCGCGACCGGGAUGUCAAGGGCUGGUAAGGUUCUGCGCGUUGCUUCGAAUUGAACCACAUGCUCCACCGCUUGUGCGGGCCCCCGUCAAUUCCUUUGAGUUUCAGUCUUGCGACCGUACUUCCCAGGCGGCGAACUUAACGCGUUAGCUUCGAUACUGAGUGCCAAGUUGCACCCAACAUCCAGUUCGCAUCGUUUACGGCGUGGACUAC